rnacentral:lncRNA from 1 species
CCUUUUGGCAUUUAUAAUGAUUAAUGACCAAGACUUGAGACUUGACUCUCUUUUCUUGUCCCUAUCUAUCCCAAUAAAACCUCCCCUUAUCUCCUGCUUCUCUACAACCUAUCUUUCACUCCUAUUCUCUCUAUCUUUCAUCCCGUUUCGACUACCUGACACAACCAGAAAUCGAACUUUAUCUCUACCAGAAAUCGAACCUUAUCUGUAUCAAUUAAGUCUUUUCAUGCAAGUGAAAAUUGAACCUGUCUCUAUCAACAAAGUCUUUUCGAAGCCGAAAUCAAAGCCUAUCACAUAGUCAGGUGGCUCAAAUUUUUAUGACCCAUAGGCAUCAUUACUCCAACAACUAGAUUUACAUGCAUACAUGAUUUACAUGCACAUGCAUAAAUACAUGAUGAUAUGAUUUAGGUGCAUUAAACAAAGUUUAAAUCAUACAUCAUUCAAAAUCAUGCAUCGUACGUUUACAAAUCAUGUAGAAGGUUCAUACCACAUCAAAGUAACUUUUUCAAAAAAACCCUUAAUCAAUUAAGGUUUAGUUAAUCGAUUAAAUUGUGCAAAAUAGAAACCUAUUAAUCGAUUAAGUUAAGGGUUAGUCGAUUAAUGAUAUUUACAAUUUCUGAAAUUUUGAUUUUUAAAGAAUCGUUAAACGAUUAAGUAGAUUGUUAAUUGAUUAACUAUAUCAGAAAAUAGAAUUGUAUUUUAAACCAACUUUUCCCAUUUGCUACAAAUAUUUCGUAACACAAAAUUCAGAUUGAUUUUCACUUCAUAUCAAAAGAUAGAUUUUCCAAAGUGUUUCUGAAAAAAGUAUUCUCAUACACAAAGAAAGAUAAGAGAAUACUUUAUGAAUCUUUAGAGAAGUAUUUCAAGAUUUUCAUAGUCAAAUCAAGUUUACAAAACCUUUCAUCUCACAUCUUAAUUUUGAGUUAUGCGAGACUUAGAAAGGUUUUAGGUCCUGGAAGUGUGUGUAUAUUCAACAUUUUUUAGGUGCAUUUACUCAUUUGUACACAUUGGACACGUUGGUAUUAACAUUUCUCUUUGGUAUGUGGUAUCACCACGAAUAAGAGAAAAGGUUUAGGAAACCCUGGUUAUAAGUGGUGAGGAACCAUCAGAAACUAGGUUCACUGUACAAGAUUCUUGGUAGAGAAGUUAGAAGUGGUGGGGCUCUCCACUUAUUCCUUAUCUCUAUACGUGUUUGCAUUGUUUGAUUUACUAUACUUGGCAUUAUAAUCUUUUUUGUGUUAAUUACAUAACCUGUUUUAUGCCAUUAACUGCAUAAUAUCAUGUAGUAGAUUGCAUACAAGUUUAGUCAAAUCUUUACAUCUUAGUGUAUAAAGAAAACUCAAUUAAGAUAUAUGUUAAUCGAUUAAACAUUGAGGAAAAUCAUAGAAUAUCUUUUUAAUCAAGAAAUAAUAAUCGAGUAACGAACCACCUAUUCAUCCCCUUCUAGGUGAAGUUUAGAGCCCUUAUAUGCUAACACAUACUACAUUGAAAAUUGUUGUAAUUAAAUAAACAAAAAAAUUAUAAAUAAUAUUAUAUCCUCCUAUAAAUUUAAGAUAUGCUCCUAAUUAUAGGUAAGUGAUUUGUGUCCCUUUAAACCCAAAUAAAGCUAACAUUUGUUAGUUCAAGUGACACAAUACUUUUUCUGAUCCAGAACAAAAUUUAAACUAAUUUAUUAAGAGGAUAUUACUUGCCCCAAAAUAUAUAUAUAUAUAUAUAUAAAAGAGCCCAUAUUCUUUUUUACUUUUUAAACUUACUCUUAAGUCUUAAUCAACAAACAACAAAAUUCAUACAUAAAAUAAUGCUGAUGGUAAAUGGGUCCACUGCACUUGCAUAUAAAAUUUUAAAGAAAGCUAAGUAAAGAAAAGACAAUGAAAGGUGGGCAUCGAAGGUAAUCUAAAAGGACUCUACACAUUGAAUCAUCAGCAACUAGUACUUUUUUUAUGAAAAUAUUCACUUAAAUUGGUUGAACCAAGACAUUGUUUGUCUUGGACAGUGACCCCUUUUGGCAUUUAUAAUGAUUAAUGACCAAGACUUGAGACUUGACUCUCUUUUCUUGUCCCUAUCUAUCCCAAUAAAACCUCCCCUUAUCUCCUGCUUCUCUACAACCUAUCUUUCACUCCUAUUCUCUCUAUCUUUCAUCCCGUUUCGACUACCUGACACAACCAGAAAUCGAACUUUAUCUCUACCAGAAAUCGAACCUUAUCUGUAUCAAUUAAGUCUUUUCAUGCAAGUGAAAAUUGAACCUGUCUCUAUCAACAAAGUCUUUUCGAAGCCGAAAUCAAAGCCUAUCACAUAGUCAGGUGGCUCAAAUUUUUAUGACCCAUAGGCAUCAUUACUCCAACAA